rnacentral:lncRNA from 1 species
AUCAGGUUUGCCCUUAUCCCCAUUACUCUAUGCUUUUAAUUUGAAUACUCUGAAUGUAUGAGGUAUUAUGGGUGAAUUUGAUACCCUUUUGAUGCAUGUGUUUGACAAGAGUUUUAGGCCUCCUACCCUUGGUUGCUUUUUGUGAGCUUUUUGUGAAUUUUAAUGACAUGAUUCAUGUGGUUACAUUUUGAUUUGGGGGUAACUCUUGAUUACCCUAUCCUGUUUGCUCUAACCUGUUUUGUG